GACGUAGGGCGCGAGCGUUGUCCGGAUUUAUUGGGCGUAAAGAGCUCGUAGGCGGCUCAUUGCGUCAACCGUGAAACCAGCAGCUCAACUGUUGGCUUGCGGUUGAUACGGGUGGGCUGGAGUUCGGUAGGGGAGACUGGAAUUCCUGGUGUAGCGGUGAAAUGCGCAGAUAUCAGGAGGAACACCGGUGGCGAAGGCGGGUCUCUGGGCCGAUACUGACGCUGAGGAGCGAAAGCGUGGGGAGCGAACAGG
rnacentral:rRNA from 1 species